GUGGGGACGUCCUGGCCAUGAGUUCAAGGAAACGGCGAGGAAGAAAGAAAGGAGGGGGAAAGCUACUCUAGCCCUUGGAAGGAAGAAAUCGCAAAUGGGGGGCAGAGCGGGGAAGUACCUGGAGCGGAGGCUCAAGCGGCAGAGUCUCGACUGUAAAAAUGAGAAGGGUAAAAAAUCAUGUGGGGGGGGGUAACUUUGUAUAUAUAGUGCCCCCCAACGGUCGAGAUGAAGGCACGACCGACGAAGGCUCCCCAGAUUUCGCCACGUGGCAUCAUCAGGGCCGUUCGACGGUCCGACGAUUCGACGCACCACCCUUCGGAUUGCGCCACGUCACCUCCAUCCGCUCCACCGAACGCGAACCAAUGGCCGCACGCCAUGUGGCGCGACGGGACGUGACGUUUGCUGUUCCCGAAGGGGCGACGGGAAUGACGGUUCCCCUUCCCGAUGGGACACGACGGUUCCACUUCCCGAUGGGACAUGACACCUGGCGCCAGUUUUAUCGCUG
rnacentral:lncRNA from 1 species